rnacentral:rRNA from 1 species
UUGACCUCAAAUCAGGUAGGACUACCCGCUGAACUUAAGCAUAUCAAUAAGCGGAGGAAAAGAAACUAACCAGGAUUCCCCUAGUAACUGCGAGUGAAGCGGGAAAAGCUCAAAUUUAAAAUCUGAUAGUCUUAUGGCUGUCCGAGUUGUAAUCUAGAGAAGUGCUUUCCGUGUUGGACCGUGUACAAGUCUCUUGGAACAGAGCGUCAUAGAGGGUGAGAAUCCCGUCUUUGACACGGACUACCAAUGCUUUUGUGAUGCGCUCUCAAAGAGUCGAGUUGUUUGGGAAUGCAGCUCAAAAUGGGUGGUAAAUUCCAUCUAAAGCU